rnacentral:rRNA from 1 species
CAGCCGCCGCGGGAAUACCGAGGGUGCGAGCGUUAAUCGGAUUUACUGGGCGUAAAGCGUGCGUAGGCGGCUUUUUAAGUCGGAUGUGAAAUCCCUGAGCUUAACUUAGGAAUUGCAUUCGAUACUGGGAAGCUAGAGUAUGGGAGAGGAUGGUAGAAUUCCAGGUGUAGCGGUGAAAUGCGUAGAGAUCUGGAGGAAUACCGAUGGCGAAGGCAGCCAUCUGGCCUAAUACUGACGCUGAGGUACGAAAGCAUGGGGAGCAAACAGGAUUAGAUACCCCUGUAGUCCCUGUCUCUUAUAC